CGGAGGCAGCAGUGGGGAAUCUUGCGCAAUGGGCGAAAGCCUGACGCAGCAACGCCGCGUGAGUGAUGAAGGUCUUCGGAUCGUAAAGCUCUGUCGGAGGGAACGAUGCCCAGGUUGGCUAACAUCCAACAGGGGUGACGGUACUCUCAAAGGAAGCACCGGCUAACUCUGUGCCAGCAGCCGCGGUAAGACAGAGGGUGCAAGCGUUGUUCGGAAUUAUUGGGCGUAAAGGGCGCGUAGGCGGUUUCGUAAGUCAGAUGUGAAAUCCCGGGGCUUAACCCCGGAAGUGCGUCUGAUACUGCGAAACUUGAGUCCCGGAGAGGGUGGUGGAAUUCCCAGUGUAGAGGUGAAAUUCGUAGAUAUUGGGAGGAAUACCGGUGGCGAAGGCGACCACCUGGACGGAGACUGACGCUGAGGCGCGAAAGCGUGGGGAGCAAACAGGAUUAGAUACCCCAGUAA
rnacentral:rRNA from 1 species